rnacentral:rRNA from 1 species
CGGGGGUGGAGUAAUGUCUGGGAAACUGCCUGAUGGAGGGGGAUAGCUACUGGAAACGGUAGCUAAUACCGCAUAACGUCGCAAGACCAAGAGGGGACCUUCGGGCCUCUUGCCAUCGGAUGUGCCCAGAUGGGAUUAGCUAGUAGGUGGGGUAACGGCUCACCUAGGCGACGAUCCCUAGCUGGUCUGAGAGGAUGACCAGCCACACUGGAACUGAGACACGGUCCAG